UGGGGUCUCAGAAGGCAGUGCUGUUGAGGAGUCUCCACCAUGGCCUGGUCUCUAGUCUUUCUUACCCUCCUCACUCAGGGCACAGGGUCCUGGGUCUGGUCUGCCCUGACUCAGCCAUCCUCAGUGACAGGUUCCCUGGGACAGACAGUUACCACCUCUUGUGCUAGAACACGCAAUGACUCUGGGAGUUAAUGCUGUCUCCUGACACCAACAUUAUCCUGGCAUGGCCCCCAAAGCUCUGAUUUAUAAUGUAAAUACUUGGCCAUCAGGGAUCCCUGAUUGCUUCUCUGGCUCCAAGACUGGCAACACAGCUUCCCUGACCAUCUCUGGGCUCUAGGCUGAGGAUGAGGCUAAUUAUCACUGUGCCUCAUGUAAAAGCAGUGGUAUUUAUCACAGUGGUCCAAGUUUAUGA